CCAAGUUAUAAAUUCGACUUCCCUUUUCCUCAUCGCUCCUUCAUCAUAAUUUCUCCUCCUCCUCCUCCAUUCUGGAUCUGUCAGGGAGCUUAAUGUGAUCGAUCGGCCAGGCCCUUUCAAGAUCAGCACCAGUAUAAGCAUCUCUUCCCCUAACACACAUGCUGCCUCUUUCCCCUCAGGUCCGUGCUGUGAGAGGCGUCGAGUGACUCAGUUUACCACACGCCCCCGCUGGCCUGCGAUCGAAUCCUGCCAGAGCUCCUGACUCCACUCUGUCUCCCCCUCUGCUGUCUCAACAAUUAAAUCAGUCAAGGCACGUUUCCCUUCAAAGUCCAGAGCGUGGAGGAGUGAGGGAAGAAGAGAAAUCGCUGUGUGACGAAGGGGGAGAUGAGGCAACACCGACGAGGCUGGAGUGAAAUAGAGAUGCAAGGCUGCAAGUCGAGAGGGAAAGCCCUAACUCAAGAGUGAGGAAGAGGGAGCGGAAAGAAGGAAUCAAGUUGGAAUCGGGGAAAGAGACGCGGGAAAAGUCGACCUCCGGUUCACAUCUGAGGACCACCGGGCAAACUUUGGAGAGGGAGUAAUCUCAAGGUGGACCGAUGUCGUAGAUGCCCUCCCUGUCCCGCUCUUCAUCUUCUUCUCCACAACCACUGAAAACGGUUGUAAUCCUAACUGAAUCUUGUGGAUCUCGUAUCUAGAAAAGUAUCAAGAAAUAAAGAUAUUGCACAUUUUCAUUAUGUUUUAACUAACGAUUUGGCUGUGUAUGUAUAAAGAGUUUUGGUUAGGAUACUUUUAAGCCUGUUAUUCUGCUACUAUUAUCUUUAACACAUUUGUGUGAGAUCACUGAGCUCUGAACAGCUAUAGACUCAGUAUAAGCUCAAUAAAUCAUGUUCAAAAUCCCCUUGUCAUUUACCAACAGUUUAAAAUAAAUAGUUCCUCCUAAAUGAAUUGCGUCUCCCCCACAAUGCGCUCAUCUGCUGCAUUGCUGAAAAACGAUGUUCAGCAAAACAAAAGACGAUUGUGGGAGAAAUGCAGACAAAAAGGUCAGGAUUAUGUUUUAAUUGAACUGAUCGGUUUUGCUUCUGAUCUGCAGCAAACCAGGGAGACCGCUCGCUGCUGCAGAAUCCCAACGUCAGAUGAGGUCAUGUCUUUGUCUGGGUGCAGCGGCUCUGCAGUUCCUAAUUUUUAAUACGUUUCAUCUCACCGAUGUUCCUUUUUUGCACAUUCGGUUGCUCUAUAGUUAAAACCCUUCCUGGGUAGUUUAAUUUGACAGUAUGCCCCUCUGUCCC